rnacentral:siRNA from 1 species
UCAAGCUUGGGUGCGUUUGUA